AUGCAUCUAAUGACGACAAAUCCUUGGGAAGGCUCGUAAACGAUGACGAGAAUGAUAGUAACUCUAUUGUUAAGAGAAUAAUUGUCGGUGGUCUUCCCCAUCUUUGUUUCUUUGCUACAAGAACAAUCAGCGAAGGUGAAGAAGUAACAUUCACAUAUUUUCAAGGAGAAUAUGACCAGUUUCCUUGGCGGUUAAAGGAAGGAAAAACAGAUGAAAUAAGACCUGUGAAAGGGAAUACAGAAGAAGAAAGACCAGUG